UUUAUUUCAAGCUCAAGUUAUUAGGGUAUUAGUAGUUAUGGCCGUAUGUUGUACUUUGUCUUUUUCAAAUUAUGCUAAUUUGAAUUUUUGAGUAAUGAGUUGUGACUAUUUUGCAUUUAUUUUGUUUAGUGAGGACUAUUGCUAUUGACUAUCGGACUCAAGUGGGUGUACCGUGCUAAUAGCGAUGCCUAGGCCCAAGUACUCUCAAAUCCAUAUCUCCGCGCCUUUGAAUGUUGUGGUACGUAACUGUGGCUUUAAAUUUUGUAUAUUUAUCUUGGGCCUUAAUUAACCUGAACUUGAAGUUCCCCGGGUUCAAUUUCAAGCUCAAGUUAAUUAGGUAUUAUUAGACAAGGCCUUAUGUUUUAAAUACGCUUUGGCCCUUUGUCAAAAUUAGCUGAUUUGAGUUUUUUGUGUAAUAUGUAGUGACUGUUUUUGCAUUUGGUCUGUUUUGCGAGGACUUUGCUAUUGACUAUACCCGUAUUCAACUUCAAGUCGGUAUUUAGGUACUUGUUUUUGUUGUUAUUAUUUUAUGUUGUUUUUUUAUUUAUAGCAUGAUUUUAAUGUUUGAGUACGAGUGAGUGACUGCCUUUGCUUUUUUGUUUUGUCGAGGACUAAUACUGUUGACUAUCGGGUUUAAAUUUCAUCAGCUCAAGUGUAUUAGGGUAAUUAUUAGUUAUUUCCGUAUGCUUUACUUUGUCUUUUUCAAAUAUGCUAAUUUGAAUUUUUGAGUAAUGAUUUGGCUGACUAUUUUCAUUGAUUUUUUGUUUAGUGAGGACUAUUGCUAUUGACUAUCCGGACUCAAGUUGGUGUUACCGUGGUAAAGCGAUGCCUGGCCCAAUACUCUCAACCAUAUCCCACCCUUUGAAUGUUGUGGUCGUAACUGAUGGCUUAAAUUUGUUGUCAUUUAUUCUUGGGCCUUAAUUAACCCUAACGUGAAUUUCCCCGGUUCAAUUUCAAGCGUCAUGUUAAUUAGGAAUUAUUAGACAAGGCCCUUUAUUUAAACUUUGUCCUUUUUACAAGUUAUCUGAUUUGAGUUUUGUUGUGUAAUAUGUAUGACUGUUUUUGCUUUGUUUUCGUUUUCGAGGAACUAUUCUCUUGACUACCGGAUUCAACUUCAGCUCGAGUUAUUUUAGGUACUUUUUGUUAGUACUUUAUGUUGUUUUUUUAUCUACAAGCAUGAUUUUAAAAUGUUUUGAGUAACGAGUAGUGACAGCUUUUUGCAUUUUGUUUUGUUUUGGCGAGGACUAAUACUGUUGACUAUCGGUUGUUAAUUUCAAGCUCGAAGUUAUUAGGGUAUUAUUAGUUAUGGCCGUUAUGUUGACUUGUCUUUUUCAAAUAUGCUAAUUGAUUUUUGAGUAAUGAGUUUGACAUUUUGCAUUAUUUUUGUUUAGUGAGGACUAUUGCUAUGGACUAUCGGGGACUGGAAUCAAGUGGGUGUACGUACUAAAUAGCGAUGCCUAGGCCCAAGUUCUCAAAUCCAUAUCUCCGCGCCUUUGAAUGUUUGUGGUACGUAACUGUUGACUUUAAAUUUUGUAAUUACUUGGGCCGUAAGUUACACCUGAACUGGAAGUCCCGGGUUCAAUUUCAAGCUCAAGUUAAUAGUAUUAUUAGACAGGACUUUAUGUUGUACUUGUAUUUUAAAAUUAUGACUGAUUUGAGUUUUUGUCUGUAGUAAGAUGUAGUGAACGUUUUUGCAUUGUCGUUUGCGAGGACUAUGCCCUAUUGACUACCGGAUUCAACUUAAAGUGCGAGUUAUUUAGGUUAACUUUUUGUUAGUACUUUAUGUGUGUUUUUAUUUAGAGACAUGAUUUAUGUUUGAGUAACGAGUAGUGACUGCUUGCAUUUUUUUGUUUUGCGUGAGGACUAAUUCUGUUGAAUAGUCGGGGUUUAAUUCAAGUCAAGUUAUUAGGGAUUAGUAGUUAUGGCCGCAUGUGUACUUGUCUUUUUCAAAUUAUGCCUAAUUGAAUUUUUGAGAGUAAUAGUGUGACUGUAUUUUGCCUUAUUUUGUUUAGUGAGGACUAAUGCUAUUGACUAUCGGAUCAAGUGGGUUUGUACCGUGCUAAUAGCGAUGCCUAAGGCCCAAAGUACUCUCAAAUCCAUAUACUCCGCGCCUUUGAAUGUUGUGGGGAGUACGUAAUGUGCUUUAAAUUUUGUUAUAUUAUCUUUGGCCUUAAUAACCUUGAACUGGAAGUUCCCGGGUUAAUUCAAGCUCAAGUUAUUAGGUAUAUUAGACAGGCCUUAUGUUGUGUACUUGUCUUUUUAAAAUUAUGCUGAUUUGAGUUUUUGUGUAAUAUGUAGUGACUGUUUUGCAUUUGUUCUGUUUUGCGAGGACUAUUGCUAUUGACUACCGGAUUCAACUUCAAGCUCGAGUUAUUUAGGUACUUUUUGUUAGUACUUUAUGUUGUUUUUUAUUUAUAGCAUGAUUUUAAUGUUUGAGUAACGAGUAGUGACUGCUUUGCAUUUUUUUUGUUUUGCGAGGACUAAUACUGUUGACUAUCGGGUUUAAUUUCAAGCUCAAGUUAUUAGGGUAUUAGUAGUUAUGGCCGUAUGCUGUACUUUGUCUUUUCCAAUAGCUAUUUGAAUUUUUGAGUAAUGAGUUGUGACUAUUUUGCAUUAUUUUGUUUUAGUGAGGACUAUUGCCUAUUGAUAUCGACUCAAGUGGGUGUACCGUGGUAAUAGCGCUGCCUAGGACCAAGUACUCUCAAACCAUAUCUCCACGCCUUAAUGUUGUGGUACUUAACUGUGGCUUUAAAUUUUGCUAUAUUUAUCUUGGGCCUUAAUUAACCUGAAACUUGAAGUCCACGGGUUCAAUUCAAGCUCAUUUAAUUAGGUAUAGUGACACGGGCCUUAUUAUUAAAAUUUGUCUUUAAAAUUAUGCUGAUUUGAGAUUUGGUUAAUAUGUAGUGACUGUUUUGCAUUUGUUCUGUUUUGCGAGGACUAUUGCUAUUGACUACCGGAUUCAACUUCAAGCUCGAGCUAUUUAGGUACUUUUUGUUAGUACUUUAUGUUGUUUUUUAUUUAUAGCAUGAUUUUAAUGUUUGAGUAACGUGUAGUGACUGCUUUGCAUUUUUUGUUUUGUUUUGCGAGGACUAAUACUGUUGACUAUCGGGUUUAAUUUCAAGCUCAAGUUAUUAGGGUAUUAGUAGUUAUGGCCGUAUGUGUACUUUGUCUUUUUCAAAUUACAGCUAUGUUGAAUUUGUGAGUACUGAGUUGCUGACUAUUUGCAUUGAUUUUGUUAUUUGAGGACUAUUGCUAUGACUAUCGGACCUCAAGUGGGUGUGUACCGUGCUAAUAGCGAUGCCUAGGCCAAAGUACUUCUCAAACCCAUAUCUCAAAGGCAUUUGAAUGUUGUUUUUACGAAACUGUGGCUUAAUUUUGUAUAUUUAUCUUGGGCCUUAAUUAACCUGAACUUGAAGUUUCCCGGGUUCAAUUUCAAGCUCAAGUUAAUUAGGAAUUAUUAGACAAGGCCUUAUGUUAAACUUUGUCUUUUUAAAAUUAUGCUGAUUUGAGUUUUUGUGUAAGAUGUAGUGACUGUUUUGCAUUUGUUCUGUUUUACGAGGACUAUUGCUAUUGACUACCGG
rnacentral:lncRNA from 1 species